GGAGCCGGGCCGUGCUGCUCGCUGCCCCGCAGCUCCGGACAGCCUCUGCUGAGCCACCCGGGCUCGCUUUGUGCUCCCUCGCCGUUAUUAAACUCUUGAGCCAAGCUGGAGGCUGUUUCUUCGGCCCGGGCGGGAGGAGAGCGGCCGCGGCCCUUCGGGACCUCCGGCCUGAAGGGAGCGCUUACCGCGUCGCGCCGGGCUCCAGCGAGAGCUUUGUCGGCACGCUGCGACGCGAGAAGGCUUCCUAUUGCCAGGAGGUCUCUCGUCUUUUACGUGUUACUGGCGUUUUCCUCUGGCGGGGCGCGGGAAGGAAGGAAGGCGCGGCGGCCAUCUCCUUCCCGCCCAGCGCUGCUGAGGGGAGCCCGAGCGGCGGCUGCUGAGGUGACUGCCGGGAGGCGCCUGGGGGCUCUUCCGAGCCCGGCAUCCCGAAAAUAAAAUGCUUGAAGUGCUACGAAACACUCACAGGUAGACACACGUAUGAAGACCAAGAGCAGUGCAAGACCAGACAAAGUGCAGGUAUGUAUGUAGACAAAAAAUGCUACUGCAGGUACAAGUUCUAAUUGGAUAAGAUAGAAAGUUUUCUUGAAGAGACUGCUGGCAAAGAGGCUGAGUUAGCUACAUUCUAUUUUUAAGAAGUAUACAUUUCUGCCUGCAUUUAUCAAGCUGGCAUAGCAGCUAUCUAUUACAGCACACUAACAGCUCCAUCAGGUGGCCCAAGCAAUCUUACCCAAAUUUUUAAAUACUGAAAGCAGAGAAUGGCAAGAAACAGUUGUAACGUACACAGUCCUAACCUAGUUAAAAGUUCCCAAGACCAUGCUGUUGUUCAUCUUUGUUCUUCUCCAAUAUGAACAGUAGUAGAAAAGGUCUUCUGCCAUCCAGCCAAUAUCAAAGUUUAAGCUGAAGCAAAGCAUCAAUUGUCUAAUGUAAAUAUUUUCCCCAGGAAACGCCAGGGUUUUUGACUCAUUAUCAUUCUAACAUAGCAUCUUUCUCUGGACACUACCAAUUAGGAUCCCAAACUAUAAAAUAGUUUAUUUAGAGAGGCUUGAAAAAAGUGAUCUGAAAUUACCCAUUUCCUUCUAUAGUAUUUGCACUGCUGAAAAUAGAAGUAUUCAUGAUUUUUUUUUUAAUUUUUAAAAUACAAACAGGAUCUUCCCCACACACUCAAUGAAUGAUUAGUGACUUCAGGUACUUUAAGUAAUUAAGGUGCAUUAUACUUAAAAUCUGUAAGAAAGCUCAUGUGAAAAGUGAUUCCCUCAUCAACUGGAACAGCUAAACCUUUUUCCAAGAGAACAUUGUUGGUUAGUCAGCCUUGGACAAUGAAAUAAGGAUCUCCUAAAUGUACAAGUCAAAAAAUAAGUUAAGUCCCAAGAAAUCAUACACUGGUGCCUUCAUAAAGGGCAGGGAAGAGAGAGGUAUGUUGUUUUACUCAAGUUUGGCAACAAUUUUUUUUAUAUAGUUUUGCUCUAUUAUAUUUGAAGACACAUGCGGGGAGAAAGAGAAAAAAAUCUAGGUAUAUCUUUCAGCAAAUAAGUAAUACCUGGGUCAAUAAUCAUUUAUCUAAAGGGACAGAUGGGCUCUGAGGCACAAACAGUGCUAAUGAGAGUCCCUCACAUUAGUCAGUCUCCACACAUUCUAAUGGUGCAUCAUUUGCAGCAUCUUUUCCUGAUUUUCCCCCCCAUGAAGAAACCCACAGCCAAUGUUUUAUGGCCUUUCCGGUGCUAAAGGCUAUUAGAAGUAACUCUUCAAGGUUUCUUGAGUGAUGAGCAUUUCUAAAGCUUUUUGCAUAAAUAUUAACUUUAUUGGAAAAUAGUUCACUUAACCAAUCAGAUUAACACACACCAAAUUAUUCAAGUUAAAAAAAAAAAACUAACCUAAAAUGCUUUGGAAAAUAAUCUGCUUCAGUUACAGUAGCAAACACAUGGUAGCCUAAAACAAGUACUUGGGGGUGUCUUCAUCAGCUAACAGGCAAUCAAGUCAUGUAAACACAGAAAACACCCUGUAAUAUUUUUGUUAAUGAGUGUACCUAGAGUACAUAGAAUUAUUUUCUUUUAAAAUCUGUAUAGAAAUAUGCACAAAGUAAACAUUGGUUUACAUAUAAUUACAAGUUGUAGUUAUUUAUAUGAUGGGUUCAUGCUUUUUAUCCAUUUAUUUUCAUUUCCAGAGUGCGCAUUCAAACUAGUAUCUGGAACUUUCUUAGUUGUACAUUAUAAUUAUUUUCCACAUUCAGGAUAACUUCACUAGAAAUAUGCACACACCCUUCCCCCCCCAAGUCUUUAAUGGUAUCAAGAGCUCUGCAUAAGCUGAAUUUUUAUAGCAUCUGCAGAGAUCAGCAAAGGCACCAGUUCUGAAGAUAACACCACAGUUUUUUUAGAUUUAAAAGGGAAGUGAAAACUAACAUUAAAAUUUUUUUACUAGAUCAUCUAAAAGGUAUCAAAAUAAUGAAACAAUUCUUCUCUGAAUCGCCUUUUUAAAAAUACAUUUAAGAUGUUGUUUGAAAGUGUAGGUCAGGUUUAAUUCUUUAGUUAACAUCAGACCAUGAGCCUCACGGACUUGCUUCAGUCUUGAACAUUAAAGAUGUACAUAAAAGCAUAUAUGUAUUUUUCAUUAAAAACUAUUUUCUAUGUACUGCUAAUGUCACUGCAUGUCAGAACUAAUCUUGUUCUGUGACUCAUGGGAUAUGGUCAUUCUGAAGUCACGCUGUUGGGGGCAUUUCCAUUUUAAUUUCUUACUGGUCUGCACAGCUUUUGAUAAUCUGUAGCUCUAUAAUGCUGCGACUCAGCCUGGUCAGAAGCAAUUUUAAUGGGCAUUCCAAACGUAUCCUUCAACAGUACUUCAAGUAUUUUAAACUGCUUAUUAAAGUACAUACUGCCUUACGAGAACAGAAAGCCAUACUUAAUGGGACAGGAAGACAUGGAAAAGCUUAAAGCACAAGUCUGACAAAAAUGGAAUUUUGCAUCUAGCAGAGUAAUUAACAAUUUUGGUAGGCUAUGUUUUAAGUCCUAGUCAUAAAGGGUUUGAGGAACCUUCUCUCUACAGCUUAGCACUUUCAAAUCACAGUAUUUGUGAUAAAUGAUGUUCCAGCAGUAGGAGCUUUGGUUUUUUAAGGCCAGCUAAGUUGAGCAAUGGAGAGAUGUUCACAAACAGAAUGAGACCAGUACUUAAGACUGGAAACAUUCUGGUCACAGCUAAAUUCUAUAUGAACACUGCUACUUCAUGCACUUCUACUUCAAAAUGAAUGUACAGUACAAAAUUAACUACAGUAUCCAAACUUACAUAAAACAUCUCCACAACUGUCUAACCUUGUUGUACAGCUCUGCAUGAACGAUUAUACUUUGCAUCACAGUAACAAUCCUAAGACUACAAGACCAAAGAAAUGGAAAAAACUGUGGGAGACUUUAAUGUCAACUGUUAGAAAACAGAGGAAAGACAUUACAAACAUGGGGAAGCCAAGACUGUACACCAUCUUAGUGUUCAUACUGCUUGCUUUUCUUAUCUGUAAUUCAUAAAUCUGUGAAAAUCAUUUAACUACAAAACUUUAGGUAGAAAAAUAACUGCAAAUCUUGUCUAUAUGCGUUAUUAAUAUGUACUAGUAUCAAUUGUUUAGUUGAGAUACAGUGCGGUAACUCUUUGAAAUAAAUUACAAAGAGUCCAUAUAGAGAGAGCAAGAGUACCUUAUUCCUGGCAUUUUAUAGCAAUGUAGUAUGGAAUAUUUUUAGUCAUGGAGGUAAGUCAGAACAGCUACUGUACUUCCAAAUAGAACCCAACUUAUUUCAUGUUAACUUUCGAGCAUAGCCAAAGUCCUUGAGACUAGGGAAGCCAGAAGCAACAGCUAUCUAGACCUCAAAGAACUUUUCCUAUGCCUUCAGGAUACAAAUCUUUGAUACGAUCACAGCAUUUUCAUCCAAUGAAAGAAUAAGCCGAAGAAAGAAAAAUAAAUGUAAACCAAGUUUAUUUUGCUUUUAAGUAGUGUUCUUUAAGCACUACAGCAUGGUAAACAAUGUAAAUUAGUAUAAGUCAUCUCAAAAGCCAGAGUUGUUUUUUUUUUUUUAUUUUAUGAGUUGUUAAAAAGAUGCAGCCUAUUCUAACAGGAUAAAUAUUUUAACCAUUUCACUUCGAGUUAAUGAAGGCUCACAAAUGAGCAACACUCCUCAUUGAGGAAAACAAAAAGCUGUUGUCGACAAAGCGACAGCACACACACAAAAACAAAAGAACUGUGUAAAAAUAACUAACUGUACUGUGUUCCCAUACUCUUUAGAAGUUGCUUUACAAUGGGAUGAUAUGCACAUGAUCUUGCUGCAAACUUGCCAUACAACUUGCAAAUACAUGUAGCCUAGCCUUACCACUCAAGUCCAAAAAGCUGCUAACUGAUCAAAAAAAUGCAGCACUAUAAUCCUCUGCAUAACAAUUAACUAACUGUUUUACUUAUUACCUUUUCUCCUAGACUGCAGGGCAGGCUAGAAAGAAAGUGAUCCCAAAUUAAAAAUCGAUACUCUUACAGGAAAUUGUAUAAUUUUGCAAUAUAGUCUUUUACAACUUAUGUUUUGCCUAUUUUCCCCUUAGCCACAAAAUGGGCAUGAAGUAAUUACUUUGAAAAUGCAUUAAUUUUCAACUUCAUGCAAAUCUAAAUAAAGAUGACCAAACAAAAGCUUAAACAAUGGAAGGAUAUUUCACAGAAAAUUUCUUAUACAAAAAACACAUAAGAAAAAGGGCCACUAGGUGACAUUUUAAUUUACAAAUUGGCAUCAUUUUGGUCAACAAAUAUCCAAGUGCUGUUUUCUUCUACCACAACAAAGUAGCUGUACAGAAAGAAAACUGCAUAACUUGUUUUAUUAUUAUUUUUUAAUCACACAUCUCCUCAGGAAUUUCAUGUGGAUUAAGGAUGCCAGGUACAGACAUCUGAAGUUUAUGCUUCUCCUCUUGAGCCUGCCGAAGGGCUGUUUCUCUUUCCUCCAAGAAUAAAUCUGAUGUGUCUUCACCUGCAAAUU